rnacentral:rRNA from 1 species
AGCUAGUUGGUGAGGUAACGGCCCACCAAGGCGACGAUCGGUAGCCGGACUGAGAGGUUGAACGGCCACAUUGGGACUGAGACACGGCCCAGACUCCUACGGGAGGCAGCAGUGGGGAAUAUUGCACAAUGGGGGAAACCCUGAUGCAGCGACGCCGCGUGGAGGAAGAAGGUCUUCGGAUUGUAAACUCCUGUUGUUGAGGAAGAUAAUGACGGUACUCAACAAGGAAGUGACGGCUAACUACGUGCCAGCAGCCGCGGUAAAACGUAGGUCACAAGCGUUGUCCGGAAUUACUGGGUGUAAAGGGAGCGCAGGCGGGAAGACAAGUUGGAAGUGAAAUCCAUGGGCUUAACCCAUGAACUGCUUUCAAAACUGUUUUUCUUGAGUAGAGCAGAGGUAGGCGGAAUUCCCGGUGUAGCGGUGGAAUGCGUAGAUAUCGGGAGGAACACCAGUGGCGAAGGCGGCCUACUGGGCACCAACUGACGCUGAGGCUCGAAAGUGUGGGUAGCAAACAGGAUUAGAUACCCUGGUAGUCCACACCGUAAACGAUGAUUACUAGGUGUUGGAGGAUUGACCCCUUCAGUGCCGCAGUUAACACAAUAAGUAAUCCACCUGGGGAGUACGACCGCAAGGUUGAAACUCAAAGGAAUUGACGGGGGCCCGCACAAGCAGUGGAGUAUGUGGUUUAAUUCGACGCAACGCGAAGAACCUUACCAAGUCUUGACAUCCUGUGACAGACGUAGAAAUACGUUCUUCCUUCGGGACACAGAGACAGGUGGUGCAUGGUUGUCGUCAGCUCGUGUCGUGAGAUGUUGGGUUAAGUCCCGCAACGAGCGCAACCCUUAUGGUCAGUUACUACGCAAGAGGACUCUGGCCAGACUGCCGUUGACAAAACGGAGGAAGGUGGGGAUGACGUCAAAUCAUCAUGCCCUUUAUGACUUGGGCUACACACGUACUACAAUGGCGUUAAACAAAGAGAAGCAAGACCGCGAGGUGGAGCAAAACUCAGAAACAACGUCCCAGUUCGGACUGCAGGCUGCAACUCGCCUGCACGAAGUCGGAAUUGCUAGUAAUCGUGGAUCAGCAUGCCACGGUGAAUACGUUCCCGGGCCUUGUACACACCGCCCGUCACACCAUGAGAGCCGGGGGGACCCGAAGUCGGUAGUCUAACCGCAAGGAGGACGCCGCCGUAGGUAAAACUGGUGAUUGGGGUGAAGUCGUAACAAGGUAGCCGUAGGAGAACCUGCGGCUG